rnacentral:rRNA from 1 species
UAGGGAAUAUUGGACAAUGGGCGAAAGCCUGAUCCAGCCAUGCCGCGUGAUAGAUGAAGGCCCUCUGGGUUGUAAAUAUCUUUUAUCUGGGAAGAAACUCCUCUAUUCUUAGAGGCCUGACGGUACCAGAGGAAUAAGCACCGGCUAACUCCGUGCCAGCAGCCGCGGUAAUACGGAGGGUGCAAGCGUUAUCCGGAUUCACUGGGUUUAAAGGGUGCGUAGGCGGGUUGAUAAGUCAGUGGUGAAAGCUCCGAGCUUAACUUGGAAACUGCCAUUGAUACUGUCAGUCUUGAAUGUCGUAGAGGUAAGCGGAAUGUUGCAUGUAGCGGUGAAAUGCUUAGAUAUGUUACAGAACACCAAUUGCGAAGGCAGCUUACUAUGCGAUUAUUGACGCUGAGGCACGAAAGCGUGGGGAGCGAACA